rnacentral:rRNA from 1 species
UUAAGCGACUAAGCGUACACGGUGGAUGCCCUGGCAGUCAGAGGCGAUGAAGGACGUGCUAAUCUGCGAAAAGCGUCGGUAAGGUGAUAUGAACCGUUAUAGCCGGCGAUGUCCGAAUGGGGAAACCCAGUGCAAUUCGUUGCACUAUCGUUAACUGAAUACAUAGGUUAACGAGGCGAACCGGGGGAACUGAAACAUCUAAGUACCCCGAGGAAAAGAAAUCAACCGAGAUUCCCCCAGUAGCGGCGAGCGAACGGGGAGCAGCCCGGAGUCUGAAUCAGCUUGUGUGUUAGUGGAAGCGUCUGGAAAGUCGCAGGGUACAGGGUGAUACUCCCGUACACUAAAACGCACAGGUUGUGAACUCGAAGAGUAGGGCGGGACACGUGGUAUCCUGUCUGAAUAUGGGGGGACCAUCCUCCAAGGCUAAAUACUCCUGACUGACCGAUAGUGAACCAGUACCGUGAGGGAAAGGCGAAAAGAACCCCGGCGAGGGGAGUGAAAAAGAACCUGAAACCGUGUACGUACAAGCAGUGGGAGCCUCUUAAUGGGGUGACUGCGUACCUUUUGUAUAAUGGGUCAGCGACUUAUAUUCUGUAGCAAGGUUAACCGAAUAGGGGAGCCGAAGGGAAACCGAGUCUUAACUGGGCGUUAAGUUGCAGGGUAUAGACCCGAAACCCGGUGAUCUAGCCAUGGGCAGGUUGAAGGUUGGGUAACACUAACUGGAGGACCGAACCGACUAAUGUUGAAAAAUUAGCGGAUGACUUGUGGCUGGGGGUGAAAGGCCAAUCAAACCGGGAGAUAGCUGGUUCUCCCCGAAAGCUAUUUAGGUAGCGCCUCGUGAAUUCAUCUCCGGGGGUAGAGCACUGUUUCGGCAAGGGGGUCAUCCCGACUUACCAACCCGAUGCAAACUGCGAAUACCGGAGAAUGUUAUCACGGGAGACACACGGCGGGUGCUAACGUCCGUCGUGAAGAGGGAAACAACCCAGACCGCCAGCUAAGGUCCCAAAGUCAUGGUUAAGUGGGAAACGAUGUGGGAAGGCCCAGACAGCCAGGAUGUUGGCUUAGAAGCAGCCAUCAUUUAAAGAAAGCGUAAUAGCUCACUGGUCGAGUCGGCCUGCGCGGAAGAUGUAACGGGGCUAAACCAUGCACCGAAGCUGCGGCAGCGACACUAUGUGUUGUUGGGUAGGGGAGCGUUCUGUAAGCCUGUGAAGGUGUACUGUGAGGUAUGCUGGAGGUAUCAGAAGUGCGAAUGCUGACAUAAGUAACGAUAAAGCGGGUGAAAAGCCCGCUCGCCGGAAGACCAAGGGUUCCUGUCCAACGUUAAUCGGGGCAGGGUGAGUCGACCCCUAAGGCGAGGCCGAAAGGCGUAGUCGAUGGGAAACAGGUUAAUAUUCCUGUACUUGGUGUUACUGCGAAGGGGGGACGGAGAAGGCUAUGUUGGCCGGGCGACGGUUGUCCCGGUUUAAGCGUGUAGGCUGGUUUUCCAGGCAAAUCCGGAAAAUCAAGGCUGAGGCGUGAUGACGAGGCACUACGGUGCUGAAGCAACAAAUGCCCUGCUUCCAGGAAAAGCCUCUAAGCAUCAGGUAACAUCAAAUCGUACCCCAAACCGACACAGGUGGUCAGGUAGAGAAUACCAAGGCGCUUGAGAGAACUCGGGUGAAGGAACUAGGCAAAAUGGUGCCGUAACUUCGGGAGAAGGCACGCUGAUAUGUAGGUGAAGUCCCUCGCGGAUGGAGCUGAAAUCAGUCGAAGAUACCAGCUGGCUGCAACUGUUUAUUAAAAACACAGCACUGUGCAAACACGAAAGUGGACGUAUACGGUGUGACGCCUGCCCGGUGCCGGAAGGUUAAUUGAUGGGGUUAGCGGUAACGCGAAGCUCUUGAUCGAAGCCCCGGUAAACGGCGGCCGUAACUAUAACGGUCCUAAGGUAGCGAAAUUCCUUGUCGGGUAAGUUCCGACCUGCACGAAUGGCGUAAUGAUGGCCAGGCUGUCUCCACCCGAGACUCAGUGAAAUUGAACUCGCUGUGAAGAUGCAGUGUACCCGCGGCAAGACGGAAAGACCCCGUGAACCUUUACUAUAGCUUGACACUGAACAUUGAGCCUUGAUGUGUAGGAUAGGUGGGAGGCUUUGAAGUGUGGACGCCAGUCUGCAUGGAGCCGGCCUUGAAAUACCACCCUUUAAUGUUUGAUGUUCUAACGUUGGCCCCUGAUCGGGGUUGCGGACAGUGUCUGGUGGGUAGUUUGACUGGGGCGGUCUCCUCCUAAAGAGUAACGGAGGAGCACGAAGGUUGGCUAAUCCUGGUCGGACAUCAGGAGGUUAGUGCAAUGGCAUAAGCCAGCUUGACUGCGAGCGUGACGGCGCGAGCAGGUGCGAAAGCAGGUCAUAGUGAUCCGGUGGUUCUGAAUGGAAGGGCCAUCGCUCAACGGAUAAAAGGUACUCCGGGGAUAACAGGCUGAUACCGCCCAAGAGUUCAUAUCGACGGCGGUGUUUGGCACCUCGAUGUCGGCUCAUCACAUCCUGGGGCUGAAGUAGGUCCCAAGGGUAUGGCUGUUCGCCAUUUAAAGUGGUACGCGAGCUGGGUUUAGAACGUCGUGAGACAGUUCGGUCCCUAUCUGCCGUGGGCGCUGGAGAACUGAGGGGGGCUGCUCCUAGUACGAGAGGACCGGAGUGGACGCAUCACUGGUGUUCGGGUUGUCAUGCCAAUGGCACUGCCCGGUAGCUAAAUGCGGAAGAGAUAAGUGCUGAAAGCAUCUAAGCACGAAACUUGCCCCGAGAUGAGUUCUCCCUGACUCUUUAAGGGUCCUGAAGGAACGUUGAAGACGACGACGUUGAUAGGCCGGGUGUGUAAGCGCAGCGAUGCGUUGAGCUAACCGGUACUAAUGAACCGUGAGGCUUAACCUU